AGCUAUUGUUAGGAAAUGGUCAUUUAUUACCGUCUAAUAAAACCAUGGUCAUGAGGCCCCUCAGAUAUAUAUCGGGAGCCCCAUGUAGGCCUCGAUCCUGAGACCUGAGGUCAUGAGCUGAGCUGAAACCUGACUGACUGAGCCACACGGGUGCUCCAGUUUUGGCCUCUUCUUGAUUCUUGAAAAAAACUCAUGAUAUAGUCGGGAAACCUUUUAUCCUGCAUUGUAAAAUUUUUCCACAGAAAGGAGAGGCCUAGAUCAACCAAUCAAGGGUUACCUGCUCAGCAUACAUUACCUGACCUGGCUCCCAGACUUCCAUUUUGCUUCAUAUAAGGGAAGUUACCUUGCUGUAACCAAUCAGCAAAUGCCAAGUAUAACUUCCUUGUUCCUGCUCACCUUGGCCUAUAAAAAUCUUUUGCUUGUACCGUUCUUCAGAGCUCCUUUUUAUCUGCUAGAUUAGAGUGUGGAAGGGGCAGAGGCAGAGAGAGAGAGAGAGAGAAUCUCAAGCAUGGAGCCC